GAGUUUGAUCAUGGCUCAGGAUGAACGCUAGCGGCAGGCUAACACAUGCAAGUCGAGGGGCAGCACAGGUAGCAAUACUUGGUGGCGACCGGCGCAAGGGUGCGUAACGCGUGAGCAACAUGCCCGUAUCAGGGGGAUAAUCCAGGGAAACUUGGUCUAAUACCCCAUAGUAAGUUUUUGAGGCAUCUCAAGGAUUUUAAAGCUUUGGUGGAUACGGAUUGGCUCGCGUGACAUUAGCUAGAUGGUAAGGUAACGGCUUACCAUGGCUACGAUGUCUAGGGGUUCUGAGAGGAAGGUCCCCCACACUGGAACUGAGACACGGUCCAGACCCCUACGGGAGGCAGCAGUGAGGAAUAUUGGACAAUGGAUGGAAAUCUGAUCCAGCCAUGCCGCGUGCAGGAAGACGGCCCUAUGGGUUGUAAACUGCUUUUGUAUGGGAGCAAUAAGAUCUACGUGUAGAUUGAUGAGAGUACCAUACGAAUAAGCACCGGCUAACUCCGUGCCAGCAGCCGCGGUAAUACGGAGGGUGCAAGCGUUAUCCGGAUUUAUUGGGUUUAAAGGGUGCGUAGGCGGUUUGAUAAGUCAGCGGUGAAAUAUUUCAGCUUAACUGGAAGGGUGCCGUUGAUACUGUCAGGCUUGAAUUUAGUUGCUGUGGGUGGAAUGUGUGGUGUAGCGGUGAAAUGCAUAGAUAUCACACAGAAUAUCGAUUGCGAAGGCAGCUCACAAAGCUAAUAUUGACGCUGAUGCACGAAAGUGUGGGGAUCAAACAGGAUUAGAUACCCUGGUAGUCCACACUGUAAACGAUGAUAACUCGCUGUCGGCGAUACACAGCCGGUGGCC
rnacentral:rRNA from 1 species